GUGAGGAAUAUUGGUCAAUGGACGAGAGUCUGAACCAGCCAAGUCGCGUGAAGGAAGACUGUUCUAUGAAUUGUAAACUUCUUUUGUGCAGGAAUAAAGUGGGUUACGUGUAACCUUUUGUAUGUACUGUACGAAUAAGGAUCGGCUAACUCCGUGCCAGCAGCCGCGGUAAUACGGAGGAUCCGAGCGUUAUCCGGAUUUAUUGGGUUUAAAGGGUGCGUAGGUGGAUUGAUAAGUCAGCGGUGAAAGUUUGCAGCUUAACUGUAAAAUUGCCGUUGAAACUGUCGGUCUUGAGUGCAAAUGAGGUAGGCGGAAUGUGUUGUGUAGCGGUGAAAUGCUUAGAUAUAACACAGAACUCCGAUUGCGAAGGCAGCUUACUGGGAUGCAACUGACACUGAUGCACGAAAGCGUGGGUAUCAAACAGGAUUAGAAACCCUGGUAGUCC
rnacentral:rRNA from 1 species